rnacentral:rRNA from 1 species
CCUCUGAUUGAACGCUGGCGGAAUGCUUUACACAUGCAAGUCGAACGGCAGCAUAGGUGCUUGCACCUGAUGGCGAGUGGCGAACGGGUGAGUAAUACAUCGGAACGUGCCCAGUCGUGGGGGAUAACGUAGCGAAAGUUACGCUAAUACCGCAUACGAUCUACGGAUGAAAGCGGGGGACCGUAAGGCCUCGCGCGAUUGGAGCGGCCGAUGUUAGAUUAGGUAGUUGGUGGGGUAAAGGCUCACCAAGCCGACGAUCUAUAGCUGGUCUGAGAGGAUGAUCAGCCACACUGGGACUGAGACACGGCCCAGACUCCUACGGGAGGCAGCAGUGGGGAAUUUUGGACAAUGGGCGCAAGCCUGAUCCAGCCAUUCCGCGUGCAGGACGAAGGCCUUCGGGUUGUAAACUGCUUUUGUACAGAACGAAAAGCUCUGGGUUAAUACCCUGGGGUCAUGACGGUACUGUAAGAAUAAGCACCGGCUAACUACGUG